UACGUAGGGGGCGAGCGUUAAUCGGAAUUACUGGGCGUAAAGCGUGCGCAGGCGGUUCGUCGUGUCCGAUGUGAAAGCCCCGGGCUCAACCUGGGAAUGGCAUUGGAAACUGGCGGGCUUGAGUGUGGCAGAGGGGGGUGGAAUUCCGCGUGUAGCAGCGAAAUGCGUAGAGAUGCGGAGGAACACCGAUGGCGAAGGCAGCCCCCUGGGCUAACACUGACGCUCAGGCACGAAAGCGUGGGGAGCAAACAGG
rnacentral:rRNA from 1 species